GAGGAAGUUAAGUCUGGACAUGCAAGGAGAGCACCUAGUGUUCAGGUUCUAUAAGAAGGGCAAUCCACCAUGUUAGAGAAGUUCGUUCAUUGUUUAGUUAGUUCAUUAUUUCGUUUUUCAUAGUUAAUUCUUAAGUAAAUUCUAAAUUAGCUUCUAUAGUUUUUCUAUAGCUUUAGCUCUAGCUUCUACUAAGUUAUUCACCUCCCACUCAAGAUUCGAGAAACCUGAAUCAUUGGACUCUUUUGGCAUGCCAGAGGCGAGGCUGGUUCUUUGUCUCUUACCACCAGGUUAUCCAGAAAGGGCACAGAGACAUGAAUCUGAAAGAAGUGCCCUGUAAAGCAGUGAAAAGGAAACAGAGGAAAAAGAGGGGACACAAUGCAGAAAGUAGACAAAAGCUGAAGAAAAAUACCUCUCACAACAAAAUUUGAGGGAAAAAAAUGAAACCUCACAAUUUUGCAUAUACUUUUUCCUAAAAAAACUAAGUGCAAGCUCAUUGCUUCUGAAAACCUGCAGAAUGAAAAUGACUUUGACAUGUUCAAACUUUUUCUGCAAAAUGUUUUCCCUUUCCUGACCAGCCCUACUUCCAACUCCUUUGGGCUUCCAUGAGAACAAUGGCGAUUGCUAGGGUCUGAACACUUGUGAAGAUUUUAUCCCUUCAUCUAGAUGCCUCAAUGAGAGCUCUUUUGAAAAUCUGGCCCAAUUGUGGGUGCUGAGGUCUUUUGAAAAACUGCCCUUUUGUGAUUUUUUUUUCAGCUGAAGAAAUGCCAUCACAAGUCGGUGCAAAUUAGGGGCUCGAUCCUGCUCCAUUUGAAGUCAGUGGCAGUUUUGUCAUUGACUUCAGUGAGAGCCAAAAUAAACCCCUAAUAGGAACUGAAGAGGGGAGUGUGUGGAAGGAUGGGGACUGAUGGAUGAAUCAACAAUCUCUCUUCUUCCAUUCUCCCCUUUAAAAUCUCAGCAGUAGCAGACUGCUUUAUGCCUAGCCCAUUUCAUUCUGUUGACAUCUCUUGGGAGACAGCUUUUUUAAAAUAAAAAUUACUAAAUUAGCUAUUAAUAGCAAAAAUUAUUAAUACAGGAAUAAGGCAUAAAACAUACGAGUCUCCUUCUAACACCACAGAGCAAUCUUUAAAGAUUACUUUACUAUUCACCAUAAAUAUUUAUACAGUAAUAUAGGUGGCCCCAAUUGUUGGUGACAAAAAUAAUAAGAUAUAACAUAUUUUUGUCCUCAAACUUCUAAAACGUAGGGAUCCAGUAAUGGAGGAAGGUUAGAUCCUGCUCAUCCAUUCUCCUUAGGGGUGUCUGGCCCUGGUGGUCAAAGCCCAUUGAAGACAAUGAGGAUCAGAACUCAGCAGAACUGCUUGUUUGGAGUCCAAGGUGUUCAUUCGGAAACCCAGCAGGGCAAAUUCUUCACACAGCAAAACUCUGAUGCACAAUCAGCUGUUUCCCAAAUAGAUAAAAAGGACUCAAAUGUAACAUUUCAAUCAUGAUCUCUGUAGAAUCAACUCAUUUCUCUCCUGUGGUGUAUUUUGCCUGUAAAAUUGACAAAUAACAGGUAAUGCACCUCAAGGGGAUUUCGGCCCAAUGAAAGGGUAAAAACUGCUUGAGGCAAGGGAGCUAGUAGUCUUUUGAAAAACCAA